GUGCUUCCUCUGUUUGGGAGGAUGGUGUGAUGAACAGUGUCUUUGCUCUCUCUGCCAGCCCACAACGAAACACAACUCAGCGUGGCAGGAACUGCAACCAGUCACUUGGCCGCAAGUCACAGAGCAGAGACACUGAUGAGUCCCAGAUGCUGGACUGUGAUCGAAUUCUGCACGGGGUAAAGGGUGGAAGGAUUUUCUGCAGCGAAUCCUCACAACCAGUCUGUGGCACUGAUGGGAAAACAUACAAAAAUGAAUGUGACUUGUGUUCAGCUGCCAUGAGAGCUUCAAACUUCAUCACGUUAAACUAUCAAGGCGAGUGCCGAGAGCCUGCCCCUGAAGUGG